rnacentral:ncRNA from 3 species
GGCCGAAGAAGGGAAAGGUUCCAUGUGAAUGGUACUUGCACAUGGGUUAGUCGAUCCUAAGAGUCAGGGAAAACCCGUCUGAUAGCGCUUAUGUGCGAACUUCGAAAGAGGAUCUGGUUAAAAUUCCGGAACCGGGACAUGACAGUUGACGGCAAGGUUAGGGAGUCUCGGCGGGAAUUCCGGAAAGAGUUAUUUUUCUGUUUAACAGCCUGCCCACCCUGGAAACGGCUUAGCCGGAGGUAGGGUCCAGCGGCUGGAAGAGCACCGCACGUCGCGUGGUGUCCGGUGCAUUCCCGGUGGCCCUUGAAAAUCCAGAGGACCGAGUGCCCGGUCGUACUCAUAACCGCAUCAGGUCUCCAAGGUGAACAUCCUCUCGUC